AGAGUUUGAUUCUGGCUCAGGACGAACGCUGGCGGCGUGCCUAACACAUGCAAGUCGAGCGAAUGAAUUUCCUUCGGGAACGGAUUUAGCGGCGGACGGGUGAGUAACACGUGGGCAACCUGCCUCAUAGAGGGGAAUAGCCUUCCGAAAGGGAGAUUAAUACCGCAUAAGAUUGUAGUACCGCAUGGUACAGCAAUUAAAGGAGCAAUCCGCUAUGAGAUGGGCCCGCGGCGCAUUAGCUAGUUGGUGAGGUAACGGCUCACCAAGGCGACGAUGCGUAGCCGACCUGAGAGGAUGAACGGCCACAUUGGGACUGAGACACGGCCCACACUCCUACGGGAGGCAGCAGUAGGGAAUUUUCGGCAAUGAGGGGAACCUUGACCGAGCAACGCCGCGCGAACGAGGAAGGUCUUUGGAUCGCAGAGUUCUGUUGUAAGGGAAGAACACUAUAGAUAGGGAAUGAUCUAUAGCUGACGGUACCUUGCCAGAAAGCCACGGCUAACUACGUGCCAGCAGCCGCGGUAAUACGUAGGUGGCGAGCGUUAUCCGGAAUCAUUGGGCGUAAAGGGUGCGUAGGCGGCAGAUUAAGUUUGUGGUGAAAGAGCAAGGCUCAACCUUGUUAAGCCACAAAAACUGGUCGGCUAGAGUGCAGUAGAGGCAAGUGGAAUUCCAUGUGUAGCGGUAAAAUGUGUAGAUAUAUGGAGGAACACCGGUGGCGAAGGCGGCUUGCUGGGCUGUAACUGACGCUGAGGCACGAAAGCGUGGGGAGCAAAUAGGAUUAGAUACCCUAGUAGUCCACGCUGUAAACAAUGAAUACUAAGUGUUGGAGAGAUCCAGUGCUGCAGCUAACGCAAUAAGUAUUCCGCCUGGGGAGUAUGCACGCAAGUGUGAAACUCAAAGGAAUUGACGGGGACCCGCACAAGCGGUGGAUUAUGUGGUUUAAUUCGACGCAACGCGAAGAACCUUACCAAGCCUCGACAUCCCGAGCGAAGCUAUAGAGAUAUAGUGGAGGCUACCUCGGAGACAGGUGGUGCAUGGUUGUCGUCAGCUCGUGUCGUGAGAUGUUGGGUUAAGUCCCGCAACGAGCGCAACCCUCGUUUUCAGUUACCAGCAUUAAGUUGGGGACUCUGGAGAGACUGCCGGCGACAAACCGGAGGAAGGUGGGGAGGACGUCAAAUCAGCAUGCCCCCUAUGGCUUGGGCUACACACGUAAUACAAUGGCGUAUACAAAGGGAAGCGAACCCGCGAGGGGAAGCAAAUCUCAUAAAGUACGUCUCAGUUCGGAUUAGAGUCUGCAACUCGACUCUAUGAAGUUGGAAUCGCUAGUAAUCGUAGAUCAGCACGCUACGGCGAAAAAAAUCUCGGGUCUU
rnacentral:rRNA from 1 species